UACGUAGGGUGCAAGCGUUGUCCGGAAUUAUUGGGCGUAAAGAGCUUGUAGGCGGUUUCGUCACGUCGGCUGUGAAAUCCCGAGGCUCAACCUCGGGUCUGCAGUCGAUACGGGCGGACUGGAGUACUGCAGGGGAGACUGGAAUUCCUGGUGUAGCGGUGAAAUGCGCAGAUAUCAGGAGGAACACCGGUGGCGAAGGCGGGUCUCUGGGCCAUUACUGACACUGAGAAGCGAAAGCAUGGGGAGCGAACAGG
rnacentral:rRNA from 1 species